UCGACCACUUUGUGGUAAACCCGAAACUGUAACCACUGGUGUCAACUUUAGAGAAUCAAAUUUAGGCAUUCCUCAGUUUCAAUUUCAAUGUAAUGAUUCAUUUAUUGAUGUAACACCAAAUAAACCUAACAAAGCCAAGUCUGAACACUGGUAUUCAGUAAACUGUACAGUGAAUGGUCUCUGGGAGGGACAGUUCCCGCAGUGUAUACCUAAAGUCGAAUGUCCGGGAAUUUCUUAUUUACAAGAAACUAAAGAUCCGAGUGUAACGAUUGAGACAAUUGAAAACGUCUUUUUUAUAAAUAAGACCAAUUGGGUGGCCAGUGAGCACAGUCAGGUAAACUAUGCUUGUGUUGAUACAGAGCAUAUUGUUGUGGGAAAGUUGUCCAGGACUUGCUUGAAAAGUGGUGAAUGGAGUCUAAAUAUACCAAAAUGUUCGGCAUAUCUUAAACCAGAAUCUCUGAGUCCAGUAGCUCAGUAUCCGUGGACAGUGAUAGCCAUAUUAAUAAUAGU